AUGAGAACUAGGAGUUUCCGGUGCAAAGA
rnacentral:piRNA from 1 species